rnacentral:rRNA from 1 species
AUGAUGGCGGCGAGGGUGGGCUUCGAGCGCAUAGCCUUCUUCUGCUCCUGGUUGAGCGUCUUGCCGGCGGCGACCGCCUCCUCCAUCUACGCGAUGCGGUCCUGCUUCUUGCGCAGCGACUUUACCACACACCGCAAUAGGGCACGGCCAUGGCGACAGUGCGCCGCCAAGGUCGACGACCGCAGCCCCGGCAGCCAGGAUGUGGGGCCGCUCCGGGCAGUGCAUAGACGACGCCGGGGAGACCAAGCGGAGGCGUGGGAGACAGACGUGUUGAAUCAGCUUGGUGGAGGAGGUGGUGUGGGCUGA